rnacentral:rRNA from 1 species
GAUGAACGCUGGCGGCGUGCCUAAUACAUGCAAGUCGAGCGAACAGACUAGGACCUUGCUCCUCUGUCGCUAGCGGCGCACGGGCGAGUAACACAUGGAUAACCUACCUACAAAACUGGGACAACUUCGGGAAACCGGCGCUAAUACCGGAUAAUAUAUUGAACCGCAUGGUUCAAUAGUGAAAGACGGUUUUGCUGUCACUUAUCGAUGGAUCACCGCCGCAUUAGCUAGUUGGUAAGGUAACGGCUUACCAAGGCAACGAUGCGUAGCCGACCUGAGAGGGUGCUCGGCCACACGGGAACUGGGACACGCUCCAGACUCCUAUGGGAGGGAACAGUAGGGAAUCUUCAGCAAUGGGCGCAAGCCUGACGGAGCAACGCCGCGUGCGUGAUGAAGGUCUUCGGCUCGUAAAACUCUGUUAUUAGGGCAGAACAAAUGUGUAAGUACCUAUGCACAUCUUGACGGUACCUUAUCAGAAAGCCACGGCUAACUACGUG